rnacentral:lncRNA from 1 species
CUGGAUGCCAUGCUACGGCCAGCAUAGCCAUGUGUACGACGAUGUACGACGCAAUCGUACAUGGGUGACCAAUUCAGACCGCACUAAACAGGAUACAGAAAACAAACGAUACAAAGGACGACUAACUAACAAUGGAACCUUGACUUAAAACUUCACUUCACUUAACAAACACGUUUGUGUCAACUCGUGGUGUAUGUCGACCUUCAAAAUCGACCCAACGACCGAACCUCACGACCACCAGUUUGCAGACGUGCCGGACCAGGUGAGCAGGGCUGGCCCCUUCUCAUACCAUCUCAACCAGUGCGCGUUUGCAAAACACUCUGAAGCGGUGUAACGGCGUGGCAUAGCACCGCGGUGCCCUCUUUUAGUUGCACGCCACCAGGCAACCGUUAGCGGAGCCCGACAGCUCCAAUCCUCCACCCACCGCAGAAACCGCCAAAUAAAUGUGGCAACGUCACCUCCUACUGUGCGGAGAUGC